UAGAGUUUGAUCCUGGCUCAGGGUGAACGCUGGCGGCGUGCCUAAGACAUGCAAGUCGAACGGGCCUGAUUUCGGUCAGGCUAGUGGCGGACGGGUGAGUAACACGUGGGUGAUCUACCCCAAAGUCUGGGACAACUAGGGGAAACCUUAGCUAAUCCCGGAUGGUGAGGCUUCUCCUGUGAAGUCUCUAAAGAUUUAUCGCUUUGGGAUGAGCCCGCGGCGCAUCAGCUAGUUGGUGGGGUAAUGGCCUACCAAGGCGACGACGCGUAGCUGGUCUGAGAGGACGACCAGCCACAGGAGCACUGAGACACGGGCUCCACUCCUACGGGAGGCAGCAGUUAGGAAUCUUCGUCAAUGGGCGAAAGCCUGAACGAGCGACGCCGCUUGAGGGACGAAGCCCUUCGGGGUGUAAACCUCUGAACAGGGGACGAUGAUGACGGUACCCUGCUAAUAGCACCGGCUAACUCCGUGCCAGCAGCCGCGGUAAUACGGAGGGUGCGAGCGUUACCCGGAUUUACUGGGCGUAAAGGGCGUGUAGGCGGUUUUCUAAGUCCGGGGCUAAAGACCAGGGCUCAACCCUGGGUUUGCCUUGGAUACUGGAAAGCUCGACGGCUGGAGGGGGCAGCGGAAUUUCCGGAGUAGCGGUGAAAUGCGCAGAUACCGGAAGGAACGCCAAUAGCGAAGGCAGCUGCCUGGACAGUACGUGACGCUGAGGCGCGAAAGCGUGGGGAGCAAACCGGAUUAGAUACCCGGGUAGUCCACGCCCUAAACGAUGAGUGCUGGGUGUCCGGCGUUUGCCGGGUGCCGAAGCUAACGCGUUAAGCACUCCGCCUGGGAAGUACGGUCGCAAGACUGAAACUCAAAGGAAUUGACGG
rnacentral:rRNA from 1 species